rnacentral:rRNA from 1 species
GGCUUUCUGGCCCGUUCUUGGACGCUGAGGCGCGAAAGCCAGGGGAGCAAACGGGAUUAGAUACCCCGGUAGUCCUGGCUGUAAACGAUGGACACUAGGUGUUGGUGGUAUCAACCCCGCCAGUGCCGUAGCUAACGCAUUAAGUGUCCCGCCUGGGGAGUACGGGCCGCAAGGCUAAAACUCAAAGGAAUUGACGGGGACCCGCACAAGCAGCGGAGCGGUGGGGUUUAAUUCGACGCAACGCGAGGGAACCUUACCAGGGGCUUGACAUGACCGAGACGCCGGCAGAAACGUCGGUUCCCCGCAAGGGGCUCGGCCACAGGUGUGCAUGCUGUCGUCAGCUCGGUCGUGAGAUGUGGGUUAGUCCCGCAACGAGCGCAACCCCUACUGUGUGUUGUAUCACUCACACGGGACUGCCGAGAAAAACUCGGAGGAAGGUGGGGAUGACGUCAAGUCCGCAUGGCCCUUACGUCCUGGGCUACACCCACGCUACAAUGGCCGGUACAACGGGCGGCGAAACCGCGAGGUGGAGCUAAUCCCUUAAAGCCGGUCUCAGUUCGGAUUGCAGGCUGCAACUCGCCUGCAUGAAGCCGGAGUUGCUAGUAACCGCAGGUCAGCACACUGCGGUGAAUAUGUUCCCGGGUCUUGUACACACCGCCCGUCACGUCAUGAAAGUCGACAACACCCGAAGCCGGUGGGCCAACCGCAAGGAGGUAGCCGUCGAAGGUGGGGUUGGUAAUUGGGACGAAGUCGUAACAAGGUA